rnacentral:lncRNA from 1 species
CCACGGUGCCACUGGGCACUUCCCAGCACACUGCUGUCCUUUUUAACUGAUAAAUCCACAUUCAGUGCCACCAACUGCUGAAUGUUACGUAUCUACACCAGCCAGGCCUCUUCUGCAGAGGAGUUCUCCAGCUGCUGUUGGAGCGCGAUUCAUUAGCGAAUGAUAUUAAGUUUUUAAUUGUCAGACAUUUAUCACAGUGCUUACACCCGGCUUGCACAAACCUGCCUCCUCCAGGCUCACACUGCUGGGCUCCACUCCUGCAAAAACCAUAAGCAGAGCUCUCAGUCGCACCCUGGCUGCAAACACUCAGUGCGUCCCCUGUGAACACUUAAUGUGCAAUACUUUAUAUGAAUCACAGCUGCAGCAUCAAAGAAUGAAAUCUUCCACAACAAAGCCUCUCACAAACCUAAAUCCUCCACAGAGCACAGAGCUGCUCCAUGGCAGCACUCCUUCAAUUAAAUCCACAGUCACAAAGGACAAAAAGCAAUCAGGAGGGAUGCUCCUGGCCGAGCCCACGGCACAAGGAUGCAGACCUUGGGCAGAGCACACAGACACAUCAUCCCACCGUCCAGACAUGGCACUGAGCAAUGCCAUUAACUCGGCACGGCUGAACUGGAGGCAGAACGCCUGCUUCGACAGAAGGCUCACAUCAACAUCAGUGACUGCUGUGCAUUGCUUCUUCACAGCCUCAGAGAGAUAUCUAAAUAUCAAACCAGCAGGUGCAGAGCGCCUGGAUGCCCACCAGCAGGACCCCCAACACAUCACCCCAACCCCAGCACAUCAGCCUUCCAUCGUGUCACUCAGACAACCACCAUCCAUCGCUCCAUGGCUGCAGCACAGCCCCACCACCCAGCACUACGUGACACCAGCAGCUGUGGCCGGGAUGAGCCCCGCAGGCACUGCUGCACACAAGGGAAGGGCUGCUGUGCAGCCACUCUGCUCCUUCCUUCUCACCCAGGCACAGCAGUGCGUUUCUGCAGCAGUUGCUCAGCACGAACAGCCGGCGAGCAGCCAGCUCCCAGAGCAGCACAGCAGGUGGUUCAUGCCAACAACUGGGGUGAGAGACCUGCCUGCACUGCUGGGUGUCACAGCUGAG